UCAUAGCAUCACUAAUAGGCUGCUGUGCAAAUCUUGUUCACUAAUGCUCAGAGGAGGAAAGCCAGUGCGGGAAAACUAUGGCAAGUGGGAUAACAAAGCUGAAUACACGGACCUGCACACCUUCAUUCAACCAGUGUUAGAGGUAAAACCCAUAGGAAGCUGUGAGAAUGACAGGCAAAUGAUUUGCUGCUGUAUCACACAGCCAUCUCAAAACCUAAGAUCAUAAAACCCAGUUUACUGAACAGAGAACUUGAGGGACUCUGAGACAUAGGAAGGUCCAUACACUGUUUGACAGGGAGCAUGGACAAAAUGAAUGAUUCCUAAGGAGGUGCAUUGUGGGUGAGUGCCACUUCCCUACAAGGAACUAAUGACUUUGGUUACUUGGGAGACUAUUAUGGAAGAUUUUCCUGCAAAUGACUAUUUAAAUGAGUUUUCUGUACAGGAAAAAUAUGUCACUUGUAAGUAAUGUAUUCUGAUUAUUUUCUAAUGUUAAUAGUCAUUAAUAAAAAUCAU